rnacentral:antisense_RNA from 1 species
CCAUAAACGCGACGCCGACCGUCCACGGGAAGGCGGAAGCGGACAUGACUUUCCACCAAUCGGAGGGUGUGAAUUCACGUUUUUGUCGUGGGGGUUGCGGAAGUGAUUUGGGGGGUUUGGGGCCUU